CCAUGCCGCGUGAAGGAUGACGGCCCUACGGGUUGUAAACUUCUUUUGUACGGGAAAAAACCACCGGUCGUGAACCGGUGCUGAUGGUACCGUAAGAAUAAGCAUCGGCUAACUCCGUGCCAGCAGCCGCGGUAAUACGGAGGAUGCAAGCGUUAUCCGGAUUCAUUGGGUUUAAAGGGUGCGCAGGCGGAAUGAUAAGUCAGUGGUGAAAUCCUACGGCUCAACUGUAGAACUGCCAUUGAUACUGUCGUUCUUGAGUACACUUGGAGUGGGCGGAAUGUGUCAUGUAGCGGUGAAAUGCUUAGAUAUGACACAGAACACCGAUCGUGAAGACAGCUCACUAAAUUGUAACUGACGCUCAUGCACGAAAGCGUGGGGAUCAAACAGGAUUAGAUACCCUGGUAGUCCACGCUGUAAACGAUGAUCACUCGAUGUUGGCGAUACACUGUCAGCGUCUAAGCGAAAGCAUUAAGUGAUCCACCUGGGGAGUACGGCCGCAAGGUUGAAACUCAGG
rnacentral:rRNA from 1 species